rnacentral:rRNA from 1 species
GAUGAACGCUGGCGGCGUGCUUAACACAUGCAAGUCGAACGAAGCACUUUAUUUGAUUUCCUUCGGGACUGAUUAUUUUGUGACUGAGUGGCGGACGGGUGAGUAACGCGUGGGUAACCUGCCUUGUACAGGGGGAUAACAGUUGGAAACGGCUGCUAAUACCGCAUAAGCGCACGGCAUCGCAUGAUGCAGUGUGAAAAACUCCGGUGGUAUAAGAUGGACCCGCGUUGGAUUAGCUGGUUGGUGAGGUAACGGCCCACCAAGGCGACGAUCCAUAGCCGACCUGAGAGGGUGACCGGCCACAUUGGGACUGAGACACGGCCCAAACUCCUACGGGAGGCAGCAGUGGGGAAUAUUGCACAAUGGGCGAAAGCCCGAUGCAGCGACGCCGCGUGAGCGAAGAAGUAUUUCGGUAUGUAAAGCUCUAUCAGCAGGGAAGAUAAUGACGGU